CUGGUGUGGGGGACAUUCCGGCGGGAGAGGCGAGGCGCUGCGUUUCCCUUCAGGAGACAGUUGGCUAGAAGAAGAAAAGAAGUGUUCGUUCAAAUUAAGGAGAGAAAACGGGAGCAGAGCAGCUUUCAGGCGUUCCAUCAAAUUCCCUUUUCUCCUUCCCUCUUGAGAAAGUCUCUGAAGGGAAUGGUUCAGCCUGACGGGGUGGAGCAGUGACGCCCGGGCUACGCGCCAGGGUUGCCUGGCAGCCAGGAGUUCGAGGACCGGCGGCGGGGCGGGGCCUGUCUCCGGGCACCCGGGACGCCCGUAGCCUGGCGGAGAGCGCCAGAGAGGGCCCCUGAAAAACCGGACCAGGGAAGAGGGUACCUCGGGGCGGAUGAGGGGACAGCUGCUAAGGGCCGAGGCUGCUGGGAAGCCUCAGUAGCGGCCGUGAAUACAGUGGAGCUCCGGCGCUGCUUAUUUCGGCCUAACUCUUGGUUUCCUCAUCUGAACAACCCCAGGCUCCCAUGGUUCGUUCAUCAGACGCUACUGAUCGCCAACCUCCUGGCACCCCAUCUUUACCCUAAGGCAGCAGUUCUCAUAAAGUGUGGUCUAGGGACCUCUGGAAAUCCCGAUGACCUCAGAACAAUUUUCAUAAUAAUACGGACACCUUGUCUGUCUUUCUCACGUUCCUUCUCUCACUAGUAUACCGUUUCCUGGAGGAUACGCUUUGUGUACGACGUCAUCACUGGCAGCUAAGGGAGCUUGCGUUUGUUGUUUUUAAACAUUUCUCAGUUUUCAUUUCAAUGCAGUAGUGAUAGGUGUAACCCACAUAAACAUAAGCUCUUUGGAGGUCACAGUAAUUCUUUAACAUUAUAGAGAGGCCCUGAGUCCAAAAAAUUUAAGAACUGCUGCCCUGGAUAAUCUCAGUCCAGGAGCGUUAGGUAAACGGCAUAAAUGAAAUUUACAAUUUAGUGAGUCUUCCUUAGAUAGCUAUGUGAUCCACCGGACUAAUGAGACAGAAGACAGUGUCCUUUGGAAGACAUUUGUAAAAGAACCCUCCCCCCACCAUUUAAAAAAAAGGAAAAGAAAAAAGGAGAGUUACAGGGGAGUCCUCCUCCUCCCUUCCUUUGCUGUCAUUAUUAGAAUGAUGCUGAACUUCAUGUGUAAGAAUAAACACAUGACAAUAGCCAGGAGAAGCAAGAGGAGGGGCAAGAAAUGAAGGGAUCAUUAAUGGGCAACAUAUUUUUCUAGGACUAUUUAUAAUUGCAACUGUAUUGUGCAAUGUCUGGAAUUAAUCUCAAAGCAAAUAUUG